UUUAAUUCCUCUCUCAUGCAUAAUUUUUUUAUUGUAUUUUUUCCCAAAAACCCUAGUGUGUCAUCCCUACCUAGUAAACCUAGCUAUAAAUGUUAUUUUUUCACCUUUUUGUCAAUUUUUUCUCAUUAUGUUGCCUCUCUGCCAUCCCCUUCCUUUUCCUCUCUGUUUCUUUCAAUUUUCUCUCUUUUCUUCUUCUCUAUGCUGCCUUUAAAACACAAGAUUCUGCUAUAGUGCCACCCCAUUAUUCAUUUUCUCCUCUUUUUUUCUAUUUUUUACUCAUCUUUUGUCCUAUCUCUUUGGCCGAAUUUUCGUUGCUGAUUUUUCUGUCAUUGCCACACCUUAUUGCCCACUUUUCUUCCAUUUUUGUUGUUGAAUCAAUCUCCUGUCUUGGCCGACUGAAUUGUUCAUCCAUUUUCUAUUGAAUCAUUAUUUUAAAUCUAGAAAUCGGGAAGUGUAAGUUGCCUAGAUCUGACCCAAUUUUGUUAUUAUUUUCUUUUUCACUAUGGUGGCCGAAUAUUUUAGCGACCAUGGUUUAAUCUCACAAGUUCUUUUAUUUUUGUGUUUGAUUGAUUCAAGAUCCAUAUCCAAGCCUUAUGGAUCAGCCAUAACAUUGGGAAAUCUGUUGGCAACUCUGUCGUAAGCCUAAUAGAGUAAGUGUUAAUUUUCAACUUUGGAUCUAAAAUUUUCGGUUAACAUCACUGCUUUGGCCAAACUCUAUAUGUCUUUUAAAGGGCUAUUUUUUAACAUUCAAUCUUUGUUGAGUACAGAUCUGAGUUAGAUCUAAAGUGUAGGAGUUGCAGAAAAAUGAUAGUGUUCGGAUUAGCGUAAUCAGGUGUGGGUCCUAACUAUUGUUUGUUUGUUGUGGUGUUUACUGUAAAUUGUUUGAUUGUUUGCUAGGAAUAGUCAAAUGUUAUAGGGCUUUAAAAUGAGGUAACCGAUUGUGUAAGUAUUUUACAUAUGGGUUGAUUGUGUUUUUGAUCAAUCAGAUGGCUAUAGGCAUGCCAUUUUAUGACUAGUACCGUUAAGUAAGCUAUUCGUCAUUGUUACCGGUUACAUGUAAGUAUGUCUACUGUAAUGUAUGUUGAUUGCAUGUACGCAAGCCAUUGAAUGUUACUGUUUUCACUAAAUGCAUGAAAAGCAUGCCAUAGAUACUGUUUACUGGAUGUAUGCAAAGCAUACCAUUGGCAUUAAUUCAUGGAAUGCAUGUAUCGCAUGCCAUAGUAAUGAAAUUGUUACCAAUAAAGCAUGAUGUGCUACAUGGUUACAUGACAUAUUGCAUGCAUGGGUUUUUGGAUUUGAUGGUGCUGAAGGAGUUUCGUGGAGUAUCGUCGAUUUAUUUGCAAUUUACUGGCAGCUUGUCUACAAUUUAAUGGUGACUUAUCGCAAUUUACUGGCAGCUUGUCUGCAAUCCAUUGAUAGUUUUACUGCAUAUUGUUAUUGGUGGUUUAUCCACAAUGAGCUUCGACUCUUACUAUUUUUGUGGUCGAAUGACGGGUUCUGGGGAAACUCAUGGUGUGUAGUGGAUGGAUGGGUAGGACCUUUGCACUGUUUUGCAUUUGAACAUGCCCAUGCAUAUGCACUGGUUACUGAACUACCGCGAUCUAAUAUGGAAUUGAUAUUGUUGCUAUUUGCCCUACUGUGAUUGUUUAAUUGAUUGCAAAUCUACAGUUUGAACUUUUAAGACUCACACUGAGCUUUUCAAGCUCACUCUCUUUAGUUUACUUUGUUACAGAUAACCAGUGAGGUUAAGAUUCAGAUUCAGCAAUUGGAGGUCCAUCUCGGAUAUUUUCAAUAAAAAGUAUUUUAACUUAAUUUAUGGUUCUUGAUUUGGGACUGUAAUAAUUUAUACAGAUUGUGGCAUGGGUUCGAUAUUUUGGGUUAUUUUGGUAUUUGUAUGCAUUAUCGUUAAAACUGGUUAAGUUAAAUAAUUGGAUGAAUCUACACUUUGGUGUUUAUAAGCAUGUAAAAAUGUUUUUAUUUAACAAAAUAUAACUAAGGUCAUUGUAUUUUUCACUGAAUAAAACUAAGAUAAGCCCACUACAGUUUUUUUCAAAAAAUAAGCGAAUGUUAUAAAAAUGAAGUUUCUGAGAAUCUGAUCAUUUUUUUACUGGGUCAUUCCGGUGCCUAAUGUAACCUUCAGGAUUCGACCACAACAUCUGGGCCAGAUUUAGGACGUUACAACAUUGGCCAUCAAAAUGGCCUAGUAGAACUAACGAAGUUUAUAAAACAAUCAUUUAAAGCAUUUGCUUUAUUUUUGAAGAAAAACUUAGCGUGUUAUCUUCUUUUCACUAAAAGAUAUAAUUUUUCAAAAAUCGAUAUAUUUUAAAUUUUACUUAGAAAAAGUUGAUUUCUAAUUUAUUUACUUUUCAAAAUCUUAUUUACGUGAAAUCGCAGUAGAAAAGUGAUACUCAAAUGAGUUUUAGUUGAGAAAAACUGGAAGUUUAUGCAUGAUAAUUCAAAAUCCAUAUUUCAAUAUUCUAAUAUCAAAUUAAAUGUUAUGCAUGCCAAAUAAACCCAAAACUUAAGUCCCAUGCCACAAUUGAAAUAAAUCAAUACAGUUCCAAAUAAAGAAAAUUAUAAUUUAAAGUCUAAAAUACUUUUAAUAAAAAAAACUAUCGGGGCCGAGCUCUCUGGACUUCGUAGGACGGUAAUA
rnacentral:lncRNA from 1 species